rnacentral:lncRNA from 1 species
GUGAAAUUGAAGCACUUCCGCUUCGAAUCGGUUUUCUUCAAACCUGAAUUUUUUCAUUUCUUCGAAACUUCAUUCUUGGAUUAUUUUACCACAAAAGAUGGAAUUGGUAAAUAUAUACAUAGAUAUACAUAUAUAUUCAUGCUUAAUUGCCUUUGUGCUUCCAUAUAUUUGAUAUUCUUUAUUAAUAUAAUUUACAUAAUUUUGUUUUUUUAUGUUUAAUUGUCUGUUUUUUUAAGGCUUUUGUCUAAAAAAAAUUCACCUCAAUGUCGCUUUUAUUGCAAAAACCCGACCAGCCUGGGUUUCAUCAUGAUUUUUACCAUAAUUUUACCAUGAUUUUAUCUAGUUAUCAAUCUAUUUAGGUGAAAUUAUACCUUAUAUAUAUAUAUAUAUAUAUAAAUAUUACGUUUAUAUAUUUAUUUUGCAAGAUUUUUGAUGUGAAACAGAUAUGUGUUGAAACAAGAUAUUGGUUGUAGUUAGGUAGGAAUGGUCAUUUUUGCCAGUUUAGCCAAUAAAAUAUUAUAUAUAUAUAUAUAUAUGAGACAAAUUUAGUUUGUUCAUCAACUCUCGGCUCUUAUAAUGUUGGAUUAUUUAUUCAUUCAACAAAAUGAGAACCUUAACAGCAUACAUAUGUAUCUUAUAAUUCAAUACGUAUAAGAUAAGAAUACAAAUUAUUAUAUAUUUCUUUACUACCCACAAGGGGCUAAACACAGAGGGGGACAAACAAGGACAGACAAAGGGAUUAAGUCGAUUAUAUCGACCCCAGUGCGAAACUGGUACUUAAUUUAUCGACCCCCGAAAGGAUGAAGGGCAAAGUCGACCUCGGCGGAAUUUGAACUCAGAACGUAGCGGCAGACGAAAUACCUAUUUCUUUACUACCCACAAGGGGCUAAACAUAGAGGGGACAAACAAGGACAGACAAAGGGAUUAAUUCGAUUAUAUCGACCCCAGUGUUUCACUGGUACUUUAUUUAUCGACCCCGAGAGGAUGAAAGGCAAAGUCGACCUCGGCGGAAUUCGAACUCAGAACGUUACGGCAGAGUUCAAAUUCCGCCGAGGUCGACUUUGCCUUUCAUCCUUCAUCGGGGUCGAUAAAUAAAAAUUAUUAUAAAAGUCAUAAUAUAAAUCAUUGAAAUCACUUCUUCUUAUUUAUCUUAUCUUAUCUAGUUUCAGCUCACGAGCUGUGGCCAUGCUGGGGCACCGCCAUUGGGUACUAUAUAUAUAUAUAUAAAAAUUAGAAAGAAACCACCUUUUAUCAAUUCAAAAUAAACAAGUAAAUUACACAACCUAGGAAAUUACAUAUAAUAGGAAUAUUAAAAUUAAAUUAACAAUAAAAUACCAAAGUCGUAUAUUUGGUGUAUAUAUAUAUAUAUAUACAUAUAUAUAUAUAUAUAUCACCGUGACCGGCCAGGCUAUCAGAUGUUGCUACACAUCGCUGGUCACAAUGCGCUUCGCAUUGUUUUAGCCUUCGAAUGACACGCCACCACGCUGGCCAAGCGAUCUAUAUAUAUAUAUUACGUUUAUAUAUUUGUUCUAUAUAUAUAUAUAUAGUACGUGCAUUUAGUAAAAGCUUUGGGAAUUUUAUUUAUUGCUUAUGUUUCUGUUUAAUCCAUUCGCCGUAAAUAACUAAAGCCUAUUUAUUGUCCACUGGUCACGUCUGUCACACACAUGUUAUGAGCAUGAUGACACCACUUUCCAAACUUAUUCUAUCGUGAAUUCUUAAAUGAUUUCCCCCACCGAAAUUUAAGAACCCAUAUUUUAUGGACAACCCCUCCUCGCCACUCUAAUUUUAAUGAGAGAUGAAACAUAGGGUGAGAUAUAUUCAUAAAAAGAGUAUGAAAAGUUUCAUUACUUUGGAAUGGUUGAAUGCCAUUUUUUUUUUAUUUACAGAAUCGUAUUUAAGAAAUUUUUUCGAAACUCCAGGAUUUUUUUUUGUGUGUGUGUGUGUGAAAAACACUGGCAUAAGGAGACAAUCUGGUUGUUUUCUUGGCCCUUGUCUUCCUGAUUGAGUAGAUUUUAAGAUUAAAAAAACCCCAUUUCAAAUGUAAUUAUGAAUGUGAUGUUCUUUUUUUACUAUUUCAAGAGGGUAGAAAACACCAUUUUAUAAUCACAAGUAAGCUCACAGUAUUGUAUUUAUUUAUCUCGUAUAGCUGAAAGGGACUGGAAAUUCUGCGCUGUACAAACCUUGGGGCACUGCUCUCUAUAACUCGACAGAUUUCCCUACUCACCAAACAUGAGGGAUAAUAGGGCUAAUUAAUUAAUAAACUCUUGGAAAUUACUCUGUCUCUAGUCUGUGUGUACGUGCGCAUGCAUAUAUAUAUAUAAGUUCAGUAAAAAUUUAGAACCAGUUGAAUAUGGUACUUAAGUUAAAGGCACCGGAAUUUAGUAUGGUAUUAUCCAUAUAAUUCAAAAUCGGUUGAUUAUUGUCAAAAUAAGCAACAAGGAUAUCCUUGUUGCUUAUAUAUAUAUAUAAUCAAAGGAUAUCCUUGUUGCUUACAUAUAUAUAUAUAUAUAUAUAUAUAUAUAUAAAAUAAAAUAAAAGCUUAUAACUGAUUAAGUGGAAGGGUGUUGUGAUAAAACGUCACCAGUAUGAGGACACCAUUCUGUCUAAUAAAUCUUAAUGAUGAGAAAUAUUUUUUGUCAGUUAUAAACUUUUUAAUAAAAAAAUCAGCGUUGGCUGAAUUCACAAUGCAAUUAAUUUGUUGAGUAACUUUAUAUCCCAUGGAGUCGCCUUUAACUAUAUAUAACGUUUAAUUCGAUUGGUUGCCAUCUCGUUCGCCACCUGUUUGUUUCAUUGCAUCAUCAGAUCGGUUUUACGAGGGUUACUUGGUAUUCAGUGAUGACGCUGACGCAAAAAUAAACCACAGGUGCUAUCACUGAAGUAAACAACGAUUACCGACAAAAUCCUGGCUAAUACAGACAUGGCUAGACUUUCAUGCCUCUCGGCUCUUUAUAUUCUGGGUUCGAAUCUCACCAAGGUUGAACUUUCGUUCUCCCGGAGUCAAAGCACUAGUCAUGUAUGGAGGGCGAUGUAAUCGACUGAUCCCAUUCCUCUCAAAUUGCCAGCCUUAUCCCUGAAAUUAAAAAUAACGAGAGGGUGAAUAGAUUGGUCAAAUCGAUGAAGCGUCGUAGAAACGUUAGCACGCCGGGCGAAAUGCUCAGCGGUAUUUCGUCUGCCGUUACGUUCUGAGUUCAAAUUCUGCCGAGGUCGACUUUGCCUUUCAUCUUUUCGGGGUCGAUUAAUUAAGUACCAGUUACGAACUGGGGUCGAUGUAAUCGACUUAAUCCCUUUGUCUGUCCUUGUUUGUCCCCUCUAUGUUUAGCCCCUUGUGGGUAGUAAAGAAAUAGGUAUUUCGUCUGCCGCUACGUUCUGAGUUCAACUUCCGCCGAGGUCGACUUUGCCUUUCAUCAUUUCGGGGUCGAUAAAUUAAGUACCAGUUACGCACUGGGGUCGAUGUAAUCGACUUAAUACCUAUGUCUGUCCUUGUUUGUCCCCUCUAUGUUUAGCCCCUUGUGGGCAAUAAAGAAAUAAGAAACUGCCCCCACGGUAUUUAUUUUGACUAUUGACGUUCUAAGUUCAAAUCCCGUUGAGAUCAGUUUUGCCUUCCAGCUUUUCGAAAUCGAUAAAAUAAAGUACCACUCAUGCACUGAGGUCGAAUUAAUCGACCACUAACCGCCAGCCUUUUUGCUGGUCUUGUUCUAAAUUCGAAACAAGAAUUAUUAUUGAGAUCAAUAAACUAUCUAUGACCCCCCCCCCGUCACCAAAUUCGUAGUCAUGUGCCAGUAUCCAAAAGUUAUUCGUUAUUUACGAGUAUUACAAUAAUUUGUCAUAGUGCUGUGACUUUUUUAACCGACUUCCAGAGAUGAUUGUGACGACACAUAAAUAAAGAAACCCAUUUGAAAGCAGUGAAUAAUAACCCCCACAGUCAGAUCGUUUUGUUGUCUUUUAUUUAUGUUUUCUCCACAAAGCAACUGUUUGCUAUUUUAUUUUUUUAUUUUUGUAUGGCUUAACAAACAUACAUAAUCCACCUGUGCGUUUGACAAUAUAGAAAUAAUCCAUUUGGCCUUGGUAUGUUAUUGGCAAAGUUCAUUCCGUAUUAAUCAUUAGACCCGGUGUGAUUACACAUUUACAAUUUGUUCUCCAUCAAAAGCUUUCCACCAGAUGCUGUGGAGUCUGAUCUCGUAAGAAAAGCACCAGGAGGUUGCCUAGCAGGCCCACCUCCAACUAUCGACCUCCACCUAGGUUAUUUCACAGGGAUCGAAGUGGUUAGUGGUUAAUAAUAAACUGGAGUCUGAGAUACCGUCACUCUUUAGCAGUACUUAAGGUCCUGUAAAAUGUUGCCCUUUCCCCCAUUUCACUAACCCAUAAAAAAGAUUAAAAACAUCUGAUUAACUUCAUUCUAUUUAUUAUUUUUUUUCGUUGUUUACGGCUUUCCGGUCUCCUUUCAAUGUCAGCUGCUCGACUUCUAGAAAUGUCAGCCAAAGUCCUUUCGACAUUUUUAUGAAGUGAAAGCACACUUGAAUAAUGUAGUAGGAUAUUGAAUACAGUGUCUGAAUAUAAUAUGUGAUAGUCCCGGUUGGCAUGUCGUUCGAUAAUAGUUUCUGCUCGGUGAGACAUGACACGUAUCUAAAUAACCACCACCAACUAUUAGGGCCGUGGUAGCUUUUAUUUAUUUUUGAUUUAAAAAUAAAGUUUCUUAGUUCAAAAGUAGUUUGAGAUUAUACAUCCAUGAAUAUGGAACUUCGUGAAAUGAAAGCCUAGCUUAGAAAAUUACUGAAAGCUUUAUUCAUCUCGGGAUGAAAUGAAAAGUAUCAGACGAAUGUUUUUUGUUUUUUUUUCUGCUUAACCCCCAAGUUAGUUCAUAUCUAGCAGAGCAAGGAUCAAAAGCAUUCUAGCUGUGGACAUUCCGUUUCUUUGCAUGUCAGAGUUUAUUACUGUUCAGUAGUAUAUCCUUAUUUAUUAAGGCCCCUGACUUUGGUAGCUGUUUUAAACUUGUUGAAUGGCUAAAUAAAGCCUCUGUCAUCAGCUUGCUUCAGCAGGUAAUUUUGGGUCAAACAAUAGCAGGAAGAGAGAGAGAGAGGUUUAAAAAAAAAAAAAAAAGGCGGAUUUCCUAAUCGGUACGUGACUGGCUGUGACUUUUUUCUUUUUCGUUUUAUUUUGUACGCCGCGCUUUUGCGCGAAACUGUGCGUUACUUUGAAGAGUUCAACAUCCUUCAUCGGGUUAUUUUAGGUUAAACAAUAAAAGAGAAUACAUAAUAUAACUGUCUGUGACUUUUUUGAAGUAAUUUCACACACAGCAUUCCCAACCACACAAAACCAUAGCUGCUAUUUUUUUCUCAUGUCGCGCAAAAUUGUGCGUAACUUUUCCGUUCUCGGUUUCUACAAUUAUUUUGAGAUUUAAAAAUAGAUUGUCAAAAAUUUUAUAGGCGCAGGCGUGGCUGUGUGGCAAGAAGCUUGCUUCCCAACCGCAUGGUUCCGGGUUCAGUUCCACUGCGUGGGCUGACCAAAGCCUUGUGAGUGGAUUUGUUAGAUGGAAAUUGAAAGAAGCCUGUGGUAUAUAUAUUGUGACCCCCUUCGGUCAUGAAUGACCAUGGGAUAGCACCUAGAAAGUUACCCUCCGAGGCACAAGUCGGGGCAAGAUUGUUUAUGGAAGACCAGCAGUCGCCCACGCAUAGCGGCCUCCCCUCUCCACGCCACCGAUGUUAUCCAAGUGAAAGGCAAAGGCCGAUACAGUUUGGCACCAGUGACGUCGCGGCUCAUUUAUUAACGUGCAAGUGGCUGAGCACUCCACAGAUACGUAUACCCUUAACGUAGUUCUCGGGGAGAUUCAGCGUGACACAGUGUGUGACAAGGCUGGACCUUUGAAAUACAGGUACAACAGAAACAGGAAGAAAGAGUGAGAGAAAGUUGCGGUGAAAGAGUACAGCAGGGUUCACCACCGCCACCCCCCUGACGGAGCCUCGUGGAGCUUUAGAUGUUUUUGCUCAAUAAACACGACUGCGAGUCUGCUGCCCUAACCACUGGGCCACUGCGCCUCCACACACACACACACACACACACAUAUAUAUAAUUAUAUAUGUGUGUGUAUAUUUGUGUGUUUGUGUCUGUUUGUCCCUCCUCCAUCUUGUGUUUACGUCCCCAUAACCUAGCGCUUCGGCAUAAGGGACCAAUGGAAUAAGUACUAAGCUUACAAAGAAUAAGUCCUGAGGUUGAUGUGUUUGGCUAAAAGGUGGUGCUCCAGCAUGGCUGCAGUCAAAAUUUUAAAAUGCCGAAUUGUUUUCACAGAUUCGGAAUCUCUGCAGUUGAAAAAGUGGGUUUCUGUAGGAAAAAACCCCCAAAAAAGGGGGUACGGUCCAUGUUACCUCUGCCAUCUUGUGGUUACAAUUGUGAGGUUGAGUCCGAAUCCCGGACUGGGCUGCAUGCUGUGUUCUUCAGCAAGACACUUUAUUUCACGUUGCUCCGGUUCACUCAGCUGUAGAAAUGAGUUGCGACGUCACAGGUGCCAAGCUGUAUCUGCUGUUGCCUUUCCCUUGGCUAACACUGGUGGCGUGGAGAGGGCGGGCCGGUAGACAUGGGCGACUGCUGGUCUUCCAUAAACAAUCUUGCCCAGACUUGUGCCUGGUAUGGUAACUUUCUAGGUGCAAUCCCACGGGCAGUCAUGACACACACACAUAUAUAUAUAUAUAUAUAUAUAUAUAUAUAUAUAAUUCGAGACAAAACCAUUAUAUUAUAUAAUAUUUUACUAUAAAAUUGGAUUUAAUCCUAAAUCUGAUUUUUCCCUGUAAAUUUGGAUUUAUUCCUUAAUAUUUAUUAUUAUUAUAUAUAUAUAUAUAUAUAUAUACAUACAAAAAUUCUAUAAUUAUGAGUAUAAUUAUAAUUAGGGUUCAGCAAAAUAUGCUUCACCACAUACUGAAAUUUAGAAAUAGCAGUUAAAAUACUAUUUUACUACCAUGAGAAAAUUUCCCAGACAGCAAUACUCAACGACUCACGCAGGUAAAGAGAAAAAAAAUAACGAAUCCACCGGGCUCUGAUCAAUUGUAUAAGCAUUUCAGAGUUAGAGAGAUGUGAAAAAUUUAAAAUCCUAUUUCUACUCUCUCAUUCUCUUCUUCAGUACAGUAAUUCAAGAUUUUAAAUUUGAGAUCACUGAUAAUUAACAUACUUAUCUGAUCAAGCGACAUCAGACAACGUAUAUCCAACGACCAGUACUUCCAAAUUGAAACAGUCGAAUAAGAUUUCUUAUUCCUCCUCACUCACCCACGUGUGCCAACGAGUAAAAUUCCACAAAAAACUGCAGUUUACUAUCAGGGAUAGAAUUAUAUCACCAGGGUAAAAUUAAUAAUCAUCAUCAUCAUCGUUUAACGUCUGUUUUCCAUGCUAGCAUGGGUUGGACGGUUUGACCGGGGUCUGAGAAGCCAGGAAGCUGCACCAGGCUCCAGUCUGAUCUGGCAGAGUUUCUACAGCUGGAUGCCCUUCCUAACACCAACCACUCCGUGAGUGCAGUGGGUGCUUUUUACGUGCCACUGGCACGGCUGGCAACAGCCAUGAACGGUUGGUGCUUUUUACAUGUCACCGGCACGGAAGCCAGUCAAGGCGGUGCUGGCAUCGGCCACGUAUAGAUGGUGCUUUUUACGUGCCACCUGGCAAAGGUGCCAGGGUAGGCUGGCAACGGCCACGAACGGUUGGUGUUCUUUACGUGCCACCGGCACGGAAGCCAGUCAAGGUGGCGCUGGCAUCGGCCACAUACGGAUGGUGCAUUUUACAUGCUGCCGGCACAGGUAUCGCAACCACAAUUUCCAUUUGAUCUUUGAUGCUGAUGUACUUGACUCAAUAGGUCUCCUCAAGCACAGCAGGUCACCCGACGAUCCAAGGCACUUUGAAAGGGCUUGGGCUUCUAUGUGGUGCAGGAAACAGCCAUGAACUCACAUUAUUUGUCAGGUCUUCGCAGUCACAGCAUAUCUCCAGAGGUCUCGGUCUUCCGUCAUUGCCUCUGUGAGACCUAACAUUUGAAGGUCAUGCUUGACCACCUCAUCCUAUGUCUUCCUGGGUCUCUCUCUACCACGGGUUCCUUCAACUGUUUGGGAGUGGCACUUCUUCACACAGCUCUCCUCAUCCAUCCGUAGUACAUGACCAUACCAGUGCAGAUGUCACUCUUGCAUGCCACAUCCGAUUGUUCUUGUAUCCAACAUUUCUCUCAGGGUGCUUACAUUCUGUCGUGUGUGUACGCUGACAUUACACAUCCAGCGGAUCAUGCUAGUUUCAUUUCUUUCAAGCCUACGCAUGUCCUCUGCAGUCACAGCCCAUGUUUCACUACCAUGAAGCAUGACAGUUCACACACAUGCUUCGUACAAUCUACCUUUCACUCUGAGUGAGAGACCCUUUGUCACCAGUAUGGGUAGGAGCUUUCUGAACUUUGCCCAGGCUAUUCUUAUUCUAGUGGUAACACUCUCUGAGCAUCCACCCCCACUACUAACUUGGUCACCUAGGUAGCGGAAACUAUCAACUACUCCAGGAGUGUAAUGGAAUCUGUUUUCUGAGUAUCAAUGGUGUCUAUUGCCCCUGUGCAUCUGCCGCACACGAAAGCUAUCUUCUCGGUUAAUUUUCCUUUGAUGGUCCAUCUUAUGUGUCCAUAGCUUACACUGGGUACAUCUUAUGGAGUUUCUACCUACACCUUUUCUAAAUUGUAUGGAUGGGCUGCUAGAAAUAGCCACCAAAUCUCAUUCAAACUAUAUCCUUAAAAAAAAGACACCGAGUGACAUUGCACGGAGGCAGUGGAAGUACACUAUUGCUGGUGAGCGGGGUGAUGGGAUAUCUUUCAUUGUAUGUUCCUUUGGUCAGUGCUAUACAACUGCGAGGUAUCUUAUAGUAUUGUGCCCACUGUUACAUGAGUUUCUCUUUAGUUCUGACGUGGAUUUUUAAAGAAUUUCUUUUAAGAUGUGUGAACUUGUUGUCCUACAUAACAAAAACCCAUCCAUAUAAUCACCAUGUGAUGAAGUUAACUGAAGGACAGAGAAAUUAACUCAAGAUAAACACGUUGUUAACGAAAGUGAGUUACUAGAAUCUACCAAGUGCCAAUUGCAUCUCCUCAGCUAUGCUGUAUCUCAGUUUGGUUGAGGACCAUAAUGCACACUCUGACAUGCAGUAAUUACCUCAUAUGGGAGGUAUAUUGUGACACUCUGCAUAUAUUACUCUCUUUCCUUUGUUCUAUCUCUAUACGUCCAUAGAUUCUGAUGCGGGCCACAGCAGAGGCAAGCAAGGUGAACUCAAAGCCCAACAGUUGCUGUUUGUGUACACUUAUUGUUGGACAUGAUCCCAGUACAGUAUUUAUUGGCCAGUGAGACAUACAAUGCUGUAGCUAUUAUUGACUCUAUACUCCUUAUUUUUGUCUGGACCGAACAAGAGAUAAAGUAUCUUUAGUGGAUAUUGUUGUGUAUUUUGGUGUUUACAUGUGACAGAAAUUGUGGUGGUUGAAGCAUUCUGCAGUAAGAAGCUGUACCUCUCAUAUGUCAUGUCCAGCUGGUCUUUUGUUUUUAGUAUAUUUUGUUUCGUUGUGUAGAAGUUAGUGGGUGUAGUCUAUGUGGAAGUUGUUUUAAUGCGUAGUUAUAUGAGGAAUUCAGACAUUUCCCCUCAUCAGUAGUUUCAUGACUAUACAGUGAAAGCUGUUUGAUGACUAUUGAUUAUCCAAACAGUGAGGUUGGAAUAUAGAGGAAUGCGGGUGUAAAUCAUAAAUUCAAAAUUGCGUGUGGUUAGACAGUUCAACAGGUUAGAAGACGUCAUGCUUCAAUGUCUGCUUUGGUAUUCUAUGACUGUGUACCCUUCCUAAUGCCAACCAUUUUGUAGGAAUAUUCUCUAACUUACUUGUACUUGUGGCGACAUUCACCCUGGGCGGGUUGAGUCAGCUUCUUCUACCACCCUCGAGGCAUCUCGAACCAUGGCAGCCCAUGCAUGACGGUCCUGCGCCAGUUCACUGGAGAUCGCGAGCCAGUCACGGUUCUAUUGGUGCAGGCUGACCACUUGUGGUCCCGUGAGCCCGGAGAGGUCCUCUUUGAUCGUCGUAACCCAGGUCAUCAGCUGCCUGUCCACGCGUUUCCGCCAGUUGGGGGAAGGAUAUCACGGCUCAGUUCACUCACCGGACGCCUACAUGCAUGGCCAAACCACCGCAAUAGCCAUUGCUGAAGGACAGAUGGAAGGGGCCGCAGAGACAGGCGAAGUCGGAGAUUGGCGGUGAGAACUCGGUUCACCCGAUGGCAGCGAAGAAUGCACCGGAGGCAGUUAUUGUCGAAGACUUCCAUCCUUCAUUGAUCGACCACCCGCAUAGGCCACGUUUCACAGCCAUAAAGAAGUACUGUACGAACGACGGCCUGAUAUAUUCGCCCUUUGGUCACCAAUGAGGUCUCCCUUUGGUCCCACAGACACUGUGGAAUAUUCUCUAAUGAAAGGUUUGGCUUUGUGAACUAUCUCUAGUAUUUAGGACAAAUCGCUGGACAUCACAUCUUAUGAGGUCAGUCAAAAAAAAAGGGACUAAAAUUCAUAUUAUUGUGACUUUUUCACUUUCCACAUACAAUAUUCUACUGUGAGUUCCCUUUUCACUUUGUCUAAGCAACAGUGUUAUUCAUGAAAAAUUUUAUUUAGCUCUUCAGUUCUUAUUCUAAGACCUUGUAAUUAAACUUGAUAGUAUUUUGCUGUAACUUAGAAUUCUGUUCACACAUUGAGGACGUUGGCACACUUGAGUUGAAAUAGUAACAAGCAAAGAAUUCUUUACACUUUUUAAUUUUCUAAAUUUAUCUAUCUCUCUGAUUCUGUCUGCCUCCUUUCACUCACUCAUAACAUGGCCUAGUUCAUUGGUUCUCAGUAAGAGGUGGUGAGGAAUGAAGAGUAGGUGGGCAAAUUGCUGUUUACUUAAAUUAGAUGGUUUUAAACUUUUUAAACUUGUUUAGCACCGUGGUGAAAACAGAAUGACGCUAAUGCAAACUCUUAUUUUGCCUUCUCAUUAAAGGAGACAGAGUGGGAGGCAGGGUCUAAAACUUUAUUUUGUAGAUAAUGGAGGUGAGAGUCUGGUAUACUGUUAACAGUACUGCGGUGUGUGUAUAGUUAGGUUACUUAAUUCCCAAACUGCUUAAUAUACCCAGCAAUAGACAAUACAUUAAUUUCAUUUCACUUUGGUUUUCUCCUGCUGUAAGCUGUAGUAGAACUGUAAAUUGGCAAGUGUUUUUUUAUUUCAUUGCUUAGUUCAGCAACUGUUACAUCAUCAUCAUCGUUUAAGGCUGCACCAGGCCCAGUCUGAUCUGGCAGUGUUUCUACAGCUGGAUGCCCUUCCUAACACCAACCACUCUGUGAGUGUAGUGGGUGCCUUUUUUGUGCCAGGUGAGGCUGGCAACAGCCACGAUCGGUUGGUGCUUUUUACAUGCUACCGUCACGGAGGCCAGUCGGGGCGGCGCUGGCAACGGCCACGUUCAGAUGGUUCUUUUACGUGCCACCGGCACUGGUAUCACAACUACAAUUUCCAUUGAUUUUUGAGCGAUUUCGAUUCCGAUUUCACUUGCCUCAACAGGUCUUCGCAAGCAGAGUUUUGUGUCCCAAGAAGGAAAGGAAUACAUAAGUGGGCUGGCUACAUCCCAGGUAGAUGCCAUGGGUUAGGGUCUCACUUGUCCUGCCGGGUCUUCUCACGUACAGCAUACUUCCAAAGGUCUCGGUCACUAGUCAUUGCCUCGGUGAGACCUAAUGUUCGAAGGUCGUGCUUCACCACCUCGUCCCAGGUUUUCCUGGGUCUACCUCUUCCACAGGUUCUCUUAACCGCUAGGGUGUGGCACUUUUUCACACAACUAUCUUCAUCCAUUCUCGCCACAUCACCAUACCAGCGCCAUUGUCUCUCUUGCACAUUACAACUGAUGCUUCUUAAGUCCAACUUUUCUCUCAAGGUACAUGUAGGAACUUAUUAACCCUUUAGAAUUCAAGUUACUGUCAAAUGUAAUGCUUAUUUGUCUUUUAUUUGUUUCACUCAUUAGACUCAGAAUAUUAGAAAUGAAUGACACCGCGCCUAUGACAGACACUUGUUUAUGGCUAUCAUGUGGUGUCAAGGCAAGUAGGCACACCACACGUUCAUAUAUCUAUAUAUAUUAUCAUCAUCAUCAUCAUUUAACAUCCAUUGUCCAUGCUGGCAUGGGUUGGAUGGUUUGACCGACCUGGCAAGCUGGGGGUGCUGCACCGGACUCCAGUCUGAUUUGGCGUGGUUUCUCUGGCUGGAUGCCCUUCCUAACGCCAACCACUUCAGAGUGUGCUGGGUGCUUUUAUGUGACACCGCAUGGGCACUUUUACACGACCCAGCCACAAUACUUUUCACCACCAGAGGGACCAAUCUUAACACUUCUCUCUGCAGAGACUGGUCCCUCUGGUGGUGAAAAACACUCAUGGCAGACAGUGGCUUCUUUCAGUUACAGUCUACCAAAUCCACUGAAAAAGCUUUUGUUGACUUGGGUCUGUAGUAGGGGACUCUCACCAAAGGUGUCAUGCAGUCGGACUGAACUCAAAACUAUGUGGUUGACAAGAAACUUCUUAACCACUCAGCCACUUAACCCUUUCGUUACUGUACUUAUUUUGAGAUGCUCAGUGUUUCUUUCAAUUACUUUAAAUAUAACAAAACAUUUAGUAAAAUAACUUAGUUAUCAUUCAGCUAGUGUUAGGAACAUAAAUUGUGACUAAAGUUUGGUGGAAGAUUUUAAUUCAAAACUUAUGAAAACAAGACAUCUGUACUAAAGAGCCAGAGCCAGUUUCAGCCGGGUUGGUAAUGAAUGGGUUAAUAGGGUCAGUUAUUUAUCAAUGAAUAUUUCAUAUGUCAAGGGUUCUUAAUAUGUGUAGAAUUUUUUGUACCACUUAUUAAUAAAUGAGCGAAACUGUUGUAAAUAAAAUGUUUACUUGUAAAUGAAACAAUAUUGUUUACAAAUAACAGUUAAUUAGAAUAGUUAGUAUAUAUAUCACCAAGGUUAUUGAGUAGUUGAGUGAUUUUUAUAAUUAUAAUUUGUAAACAGAAGUGAAAUGUUUAGAGUUUUCCUUAAAGCUAGUAUGUUUCUUAGCUUUUGUUCAGAUCUCACUGUGCAUAACACUUCCUCGGAGAAUAUGGAGCAGAUAGUGAGUGAGGAAUAGGGAAAAGUAGUUUCUUAAACAAUCUCUUAUACCUUCUUUAUAAGCAGCUUACUCAAUCAUCAUUAUUUCACUUGUUGAUUAAUUCUUAAAAUCAGAGGUCAUGAUGUGAAAGCUUGUGUAUGCUAGAAAUGUUAUGAUAACCUACGUCAGAAAUGUCAAGGAAAUGUGAGAGCCAACGUAAGCACCUUAAUCCAUUAAUACAGUGGCUAAGUCUUCCUUGAUUACAUAUAUAUAUAUAUAUAUAUAUAUAUCAUCAUCAUCAUCAUCGUUUAACGUCCGCUUUCCAUGCUAGCAUGGGUUGGAUGAUUUUGACUGAGGGCUGGCGAACCAGAUGGUUGCACCAGGCUCCAAUCUUGAUUUGGCAGAGUUUCUACAGCUGAAUGCCCUUCCUAACACCAACCACUCUGAGAGUGUAGUAUAUAUUAUAUAAAUAUCAGAAUUCUGCGAACUACAUGAAUAAAGCUACUGUUUGUGUAUAUAUUUCUUUCCAGAUUUUUUUGUACCAUUGUUUUAGAGACAAACUUUUCUUUUGGAGAGGAUGCUGGACCAUUCAAGUUAUUUUCUUCAUUCAGAUACUGUAAACUAAUGUGUGCCGAAUUAUGUCUUGUUCAGAGUUAGAGAAUUUGAACUCACAAACUUUUUGAGUCUGGCGUCUUAAGUCUCAAGCCAUUGAAAGAGCCUCUACAUUAGUCAUGGGUAAACUGCAGCUUGUGAGACUUCCUGAAUGGCAUGCCAAUCAGAAAAUUACCUGGAAUCUUUUUUUUUUUUUUUAUGCAGCUUGUUUGAAGUUGAAAAUGGUUACUCAUGCCUGCUUUACAUGAUAGCUUGACAUGCUAGAAAUAGGUCAAAUCUCUCUCAAAUCACAACAUUCUUCCAUUUUACAAAACUUGUGCAUAGCUAAGGCACAAUAAAUAUAAACUGUUGACUUGUCCUUGCUUAUUUCCUACUUCAUUUCUUCUCCCAUGGUAAUCCUACUGUUUAAAUUGUGUAGUCAAUCUUGUUAGUUUUGUUCUAAAAUAGUGUUUCUGUCUUCUGGUUGGUGUUUGUUCUUCCUGGUUAAAAGUACAUAAAGAGCCACCUUGGCUAAUUCAACUGGAUUAUUUUCCACCUGUCAAGGUUGUAGAAUUGUGAUCUGGCUUAAUUUAAUAGGAUUCUCUUACUUGUUAAUUUGAUCACUUAAUAUGAGAUUUCAUACAGCUCAGCGGUAGAUACCAAUUGAAUAGUCAUUUUCAUUACAGCUGAAUUCAUGUACAAAAUUGGUCUAGUGUGUUAAAGAAGUUGUGAGGGAGUGGGGAGGAAAAGUGCAUUGAUUUGUUAUAUUUGGUAAGGACCUGUGAUUUGGGUUUAUGAAGCUGUUUAUUCUCCAGAUCAACUCUGAUCAAAUCUUUGAUUAAAGGACAUUCUGGGACCAUCAUGUCUUUGUUUUUCAGAUAUGGUGUAUCUGGUAUCACUUAUUUUUCUGAGACAGUAAGGUGUAUUUUAAAAGAGAUUUACCUGCCAUUUCUUGCACAUCAAAAGGCAUUACAGAGUCUUCCUAAUGUUAGUGAAGAAGUUGUGUUUAAUGGUAGCUGGAGCGAAAAUGAAGACAGAUAACCACUGGAAUGGGGUCACUUGACAUAAACUGGAUUUGUGUACCAAGACCCAUGAUGUCAUAAAGUAGUGGAUCAAAUAAUAUUGAUUGCUAAUGAGCAGGAAAUGAUGGUAGUUUUAAUUAGAUUGUUGAGUAGCUCAUACCUUUACUGAAUUCCUGCCAGGACUAAUAAUGGAAUUGUGACACUUGAUUUCACUGAAUGUAGCUAAUCGGUGAUAUGCUUAGAGAAGAUCUACUAAGCUUGAAAAUAACAUAGAAGCCAUAUGCUAACAAAAUACCUUACUAUUCCAACUGUGUUGUGUCUAGUGUUUCACAUUCAGCAAAUCUGUCUCGGUUUUUUUUUUGUCUCUUUAUCAUAUACAGCAAGUUUACUUAGCUUUACUGUUCACUACUCAUGAAAUUUUGUCCACUGUUCACACAUAACCACCUCUGACAUAUGUUCUACUUAGUUCGCCCUCUUCCAAUCCCUUUACUUCUGCCCAGGCCCACAUCACUGUACCCUACCACUUACAUCUACAUCAAACACCUUAAUCUCUGUUCUAUAUUUAAGAGAUGAGGAAUUAUUUACAUUAUUUACAUUUGACAGAUAUUUGUCUUCAUCUUGUUUGUUGUUAACACAACGUUUUGGCUGAUAUACCCUCCAGCCUUCAUCAGGUGUCUUGGAGAAAUUUUGGACCUGGGUUCUCAUUCCUAAGGUAUUUUUCAACAUUAUUAUUAUUGUUAUUAUUAUUCAGGUCACUGCCUGGAAUCAAACUCAGAAUCUUGGUUAGUAGCCCACGCUCUUAACCCCAAGAUUCCGAGUUCGAUUCCAGGCAGUGACCUGAAUUAUAAUAACACUGAAAAAUACUUUAGGAAUGAGAACCCAGGUCUGAAAUUUCCCCAAGACACCUGAUGAAGGCUGGAGGGUAUAUCAGCUGAAACAUUGUGUUAACAACAAACAAGAUGAGGACAAAUAUCUAUCAAAUGUAAAUAAUGUACCUUAAUCUCUUUAUAAAAAUCCAAGAGUUAAAAGAAGCCCUUUAUUUUGGUAGGGAUGAGGAAUGAAAGUCUGUAUGACAUAGUGAAAGACAAACACAGAAUAUUCACUGUCAAUUGAGAUUGCCCCUUUAAAUGAAAUAAAGAAAACAAAUCUUAUAGUAACUGUUUAUGAAGGCCAAAGAAAAGAGGAAAUAAUUUUUAGAAAUUAAGAAUUUCAUAAAGCUUGAUUCUUAGAAGAAAAUUUCUUUGCAGGCAAGUUAAUUUGCUGAUGAAACCGUAUAAGACUGAUUACAUGCCUUUAGCUGCCAGAAACUACUCUGUACUAUCUGUAUCAGCUUUCAUCAUAUAACACUUUCUUUGGUAAUUAAUGACAGAGAAAAUGAAAGAAUUCAAAUGAUUUGCACAAUAGUAAAAAUUCUAGACACAGAUAAACAACAUAGCAAUUUCUGAUUACAGCUAACCAGUAACGUCUUCUAUUUCUAUAUUAACUCUUCAAGCUUUAUUGUUGACUGAAUAAUUGUAAGACAAAAAUUGCAAUGCUUAUGGAAUGGCAAUACCAGUUGUUUUAACUGAAACAAAAUGCUUCAAUCAGUGAUUUAGAUAUUUGGGGUUGUGUUGUACUGAAUGCGGAAUGAUGAAAUGAUGUGAUCCAAAGUGACCAAGAACAGCUGUACUAUACAUCUCUUGAUUAAAGCUUAACUUAUACCUGGUUAAAUCAGUGUCUGGAUAGUUUUAAGGUUACUUUGAACUAUUUCAUGUAUAUAUAUUUAAAAUGUAUAUAUAUAUCAAGUCAUUAAGAAUGAAAUGUCUGAUUAUCUUAUGUACCAAGUUUGACAGAGUUACAUCAUCACUUUUUGAAGUGCUAUUCAUGGUGUCUGAUUAUAUUGAGUUUUCUUUUGUAAGUCAAUUUUUGUGAACCCUUGAAGAGGUCAAAAAUUUGUGUUGUUAAUGAAUAAGGAACCAGUGCAUCCCAGACAGCUCGAAAUAUCAGUGAGGUAUUUGGUGAAGAUGUGGCAAAUGAACACACUUUAUGUCAAUGGUUUGAGAAGUUCUGGUCUGGUGACUUUACUCUUGAAAAUCAGUCUUGUGGUAGACCUGAGACCAAGGUGGAUAAGGAGCUGGAAACUGUAGUGGAAGCAGAUACAUCUCAAACUACAUGUGAGCAGCAAAGUUUGAUGUUUCAAUUCCAACUGUAUUGGACCAUCUGAAACAAAUCAGCAAGGUAAAGAAGCUGGACAAAUGAGUACCACAUGAACUGAACGAGUAUCAAAUGACACGUCAUCUUGAAACUUUCUGUUCUUUGCUGUCACGGAAUAAAACUGAAUCAUUUUUGCAUUGUAUUGUUAUGUGUGAUGAAAAUUGAAUUCUUUUCAACAAUAGCAAGUGUUCUGCAUGGUGGUCGGAUAGAGAUGAAGUGCCAAAACACAAUCCAAAAAGAAUAUUCACCAAAAAAAAGCUAAUGGUGUUUGUUAGGUGGUCCAGCACUGGUGUCAUCCUCUACAGCUUCAUAAAACCUGUUGACUCAAUUACAGCGGAUGUAUACAUCAAUCAACUGGAUGAAAUGAUGAGUGAACUUACAAUUAAACAACUGAGAUUGGUGGUCAAUAGAGACAGGCCAAUUCUCUUGCAAGACAAUGCUCAACCACAUGUUGCACAAAGGACGCAAUUCAAGUUACAGGAACUGAACUUGGAAGAACUCUGUCAUCCACUAUAUUCACCAAACAUUGCACCAACUGACUAUCACGUCUUCCAGGCAUUAGACAACUUUUUGCAAGGAAAAAAAUUUCAAAUCUGAAGGUGGAAAAACAGCCUUUUGUGAUUUCAUUACCUCUUGCUCUCCAGAAUUCUUCGCUGUCGGCAUAAGCUACUGAUAAAAUGACAAAAUUGUGUUGAUAAUUUAGGUGCAUACUUUGAUUAACUGCAUUGCUUUUUGUUGAAAUAAAGUAAAAUAAACUCUCAAUUCAAAAUCAGACAUUUUAUUCUUAAUGACCUGAUAUACCUGUUGUCCUUUAAAUAAAGCUGUGACUUAAACUUACUUUCUGCACCCAUCAAAGUUGCUGAAAUAAAGGAAAACUGAGAUAUAAAAUGAACAUUGAGGAAUUAAUUCAUUAAAAUUGCUUUUUAUUUUUAAUGUUAUUUAAUCUAAUCUUUCUUUCACCUUUUUUUCUUUUAGAUUUCAGACACAUAUCUACUACAAACACAGACACCCAAUCUUGAUUCCUUAAGAUCGAUUUUAUUGUGAACUAAUCCAGGUAUCUAUUGAUUUUUAUUGAUUUCAUUAGACAUUCUUUUGAACAUGUGAAUGGUUUGAGUGCAUUAGCUAGUAGUGUUUGAUACAAGAGAAAUAGCCUUGAUCAAGCAGAACCUACAAUCAAAACAAUUCAACCAUGACCGUCAUGACCUUUCUCUUUAGACAUUAUAUCUAAUAUUACACUAUUUCAUGUCUUUUUUUUUUUUCCUUCAAAGACAAUAAGCCACCGUUUCCAGCAGGUAGAAUCAGGCUUGCUUAUUGGUUUGUUAUGCCUAAGCAACAGUUAUUGAUAUCUUCUAUAAUGUAGUAAUAUCAUUUGUUACUUUGAAGUUUCUAUUUACUCGCCUCACUGGCACUUGUGCCGGUGGCACGGAACAAAACAUUCGAGCGAGGUCGUUGCCAGUGCUGCUGGACUGACUCCUGUGCAGGUGGCACGUAAAAAACACCAUUUUCGAGCGUGGCCGUUGCCAGUACCGCCAGACUGGCUCUUGUGCCGGUGGUACUUUAAAAGCACCCACUACAUUCUUGGAGUAGUUGGUGUUAGGAAGGGCAUCCAGCUGUAGAAACUCUGCCAGAUCAGAUUGGAGCCUGGUGCAGCCAUCUGGUUUGCCAGUCCUCCGUCAAAUCGUCCAACCCUUACUAGCAUGGAAAACAGACGUUAAACAAUGAUGAUUAUGAUGAAUAUAAUAGUAAUAUUAACUUAGAAAUAUUUUGAUGGAAUACUAGUUUUUCUUGAUCCUAAUCUCAUGGCCUAUUUAGUAUAAUCUGGUGGUGUGCAGUGGCAACAGGAGUUAGUGAUUACAGAGGAGAAUCUGAUAUACAUUUUCUCUAUUUUGGUAAUCUGUAAAGAAGUUUUGUCUUUCUGUUAAAGUUCAUCACUGUCAUGUUUAUGUUAUAUCUCUGAGAAACUAGUCUUUUUUUCUUUCUAAUUUUGAUUUUGAAUCCUAGAUACAUGUAUGGUCAUGCAGAUAAAAAUUUCACUUCAUAACUGCAUGAUUUUGGGUUCCAUCCCAGUGUGUGAAACUAUGAGCAUAUGUUUUCUACUAUAAGCCUCAGAUUGGCUAAUGUCUUUUGGAUGAAAUUGGUAAAUGGAAACUAUGUAUACAUACAGACACACACAUACAUAUAUACAUACCCAUACACACACACACACUCCCAAAAUUAAGGAAACCAACUUUUUCCAAUUUUACCAAAGCAAAAUAAUUGUUAUAAUUUCGGGUCUGAGUGUUGCAGUGCAAUACUAAACACAAUCAGGACACUGCCACAUUUAUUCGAUAUGACCACCUCUGUUUCAAAUCACAGCCUUAAGUCUAGGUGUGAAUGCUUCACACAUGGCACGCAGUUGUUCUUGCUGAAUCAAAGCCCAUUCCUGGUGCAGUUUUGCCUUCAGAGCAUUGAGCUAAGCAUGAGGAGUGCUUGAGACCUACAUCUCCAAAUUGGACCAAACACAAAAAUCCAUCGGGUUGAGAUAGGGGUUUCUUGAGGGCCAUACAUCCUUACCUAUGAAUGACAAUGUUUUUCUGAAUCCAGUGUUGUAUCUAUUUGGAACUGUGGGAUGGUGUCAAGUCCUGCUGGAUACUCCAAGGUAUACCUUUAAAGUGCUUAUUCACCCAUGGAAAUGGUUCAACUUCCAGAAUGUUGCUAAUGUAUCACUGGGUGUUGAUUUUAACACCCGAGGGCACAAAAACAAGAGGAGACCUUCCAGUGGCUGCCACUGGAGGUGAAUGUAGUGUGUGAUGAACAAGGGUGGAGGUGCUGUUGAGGGAAAUAAGUGUGGAGAUGGGUAAGGUGAGAUGUAUAGUAGUGUUUUGGGAAGGCCCCCAUAUCUACGGCGUUCGCCGCUGGAAUAAGGAGUGGUUGGAGAUCAUGCAGUUGUUAGCCUCAAAUUGCCAGGACUGGUCGGUGUUUGUGAGAGAUGCAGCAUUGAGGAUGAAUGAAGCCAGCUCAACCCACCCCGGGUGAAUGCUGUAAGAAGAAGAAAAGAGGUUUCAGGAAGGGGUAUAGAUCAGAAUGUUGCUGAGUGAUGUGCAAAGUGUUGGAGCAGUGGGGAGAGAGAGAGAUAUAGAGGUAUGUAAGGGGGUUAUAGUAAGUAGGGGCAUGAAACCUAGAAAGUUCCUGUCUAGGUCACUUUACUGUGCAAAGUUUCUUCAUGGAAGACCAGCAGUUGUCUGGGUAGAAAAUCUCCCUUUCUCCCUCCCACCAAUGUCAUCCAAGGGAACAAAACACACAUAAACAGAAAUAGAUGUAUCAACAUCCUUUACUAAUCCUAAACAGUACUCUGGAUGCCUGCCAUCAAUAAGUGCAGGGUGAAGAUCAGAUUGUACAACACUUGUUAGAACAGUGAAGUUUGCUUAGUAGCGAGACGUGGGCCUUAACUGCUGGAGACUUGAAAGAAACGCUGUGAUGGGUGUGUAGUGUUUGUGUGCAUGAACACCAGAGUAUAAAUGAGCUAAGAGAAAACCUGGGUAUAAAAGGAAUCGGGUGUAGUGUGCAAAAGAGGUUGCUGUACUGUAAAGGGCCAGUGAGGCAUAUGGAAGAUGACUGUUGCAUAUAAAGGGGCCACAUGCUCCAAAUUAAUGGAAGUUGUGGAACAAAAUGACCAAAGAAGGCUUAGGACAAAAGAGGGAAGGUUGACCUGAAAAUGCUACAUCUUCCAGAGAAAGUAACAAAAGAAAAAAAAAACAUACUGACAUCAAUAUAUGGUGCUACAGAAUGCCUGUCCACCUCUACCAAAAUGCACACUAAUACAUGGAUAGUGCUUAAGAAACUGUGAUUGUGUGUGUCUGUGUGUAAUAUGUAUAAAAUCCCAUCUCUGUUAACCACCUUUAUUUUUAUAUAUGUAUAAUGAUUAUAUAUGUGUCUAUUGCCUUUGUUUUUAUUUUUGAAAAUUUUAAUAUUUUUACUUAAAUUUCAGAAUUUUUCUGGACUUCUGGAUUUCCCAAUGUACACCAUGUCUGGACCAGAGAGAAAGAUUACCUCCGGCAUGGAGGAAUCUUCACUUUUACAGAAAUUCUCUAAGCCCUCGACAAACCAUGCGGAGCCGAUCUCUAUGCUUCAAAGAGAUUCCUCGGACCAUAAGCAACCUGCAUCUGACUUGAAUUCCUCGGCCAGUGCAAUUUCCUGGUUUUUCAAAAGAUCCAUGCCAAUGUCAGAGCGAGAAAUAAAUGCUAUGGCACCUUUAUCGUCUUGAAGGAAAGAUUUCUGUGGCUUAAGAUUUUUUUCGCCAUUGGUUAUAGAUACUUUUUAAAUAUAUUUAUUACAAAGAAAAAAGAACAGUGAAAACAACACCAAUAAGAGUUGUUGUUGUAUGAAAGCAUUAAUUGGAUAAAAUACAUAAAAACAAAAGGGUUUCGAAAUUUCAUGGCAUCAAAGUGUUGUAGUUAGCAUUAAUAUAAACAUUUGGUGCUUGUUUGAAAUGGUUGGAAUCUUAAAUAGGAGCCGGUAGCUUUUGAUAAACACAGGUGAGUGUUUCCGUUGGAUAUAACAACACUCACUGCCUUCUUUUAUGUGUACCUCUUCCAGCUUUGUUUGACCAAACCUAUGUUGUGUUUUACCAGUGGUUGUUCAUAUGUGGAAUGGCAAAAAUGAGAAAUCACACAAGAGGAGAUGGACCACACCAACAACAACAACAACAGCAGCAACAGCAAAGAAAAAAAUUCAACAUGUCACGCCUACAUAAAUAUCUAUUCUCAUCUAUAAAUUCUAUAUGUAUCAUACAUCUAUCUACAGCUUCACACAAUAUCAGAGACAUGCAUACAUGUUGUACACAUCUCUGGCCCACUAAGGUCAGCUAAGAAUAGGGGAUUAAAUAUGUAUGAACAUGUGUAUUUGUAUAUGUAAGUGUAUAUGGGUGCGAAUGUGUGUGUAUGUAUGUAUGUAUGUAUGUAUGUAUGUAUGUAUGUGGGUAUAUGAGUUACUUAUGCAUUUAAUUUGCCUGUACGUACUGGAAUACACAUCCAGUAGCUUUUUUUCAGUUGAACAAUAUAACCUUUGGGCCAAAGAAAUCUAAUAAAUUAUAUUCUGUAUUUGCUGUUUUA